ensembl:lncRNA
AAAUAACGAACAAAUAUACGCACUUUUUAAAAUGGCCUAUCCCCCCCAAAGUCAAAGAAAUGCAAUUUAAAAUAAUUAAUGGAUAUUACCCAGCAGCUGAAAUGCUUAAAAAAAGGUUUGGGUUUGAGGUAGAGCCAUGUGGAUUUUGUUCACAAAAGGUGGAAAGUAUUGAUCAUUUGUUUUUUUCCUGCUCAGUAACAACUGACUUCUGGCAAGAUUUAGUAGACUGGUUGAGUAUAAGAAUAGAUGGGAUGACCCCACUGACUCUAACACAAGUUUUAUAUAAUAAUGGUGAUCCAUCUAAGGAACUGUCCAUGCUACACAAGGUGGUGAUAAUUAUGGGCAAAUACCACAUACACAAAUGCAAAUGGCAAAGUAAAAGACCUUCCCUAACUGCAUUGAAAAUUGAAUUAAAAUCCUUUUUGUCAUCUUUAGAAUUAUUGAGGGAUUCAUGUAAAGAGGCUGCUUUGAUAUGCGACAAUGGGACUCAAUCUCUAUCCUUUUAAUGAUUGUGUUUUUGGUGUACUAAGUAAGCCACAUGUAUGUUAAAGUGUUCGCAGAAAGGAAACUGUUAUAUGUCAUAAAAAUGGCCUUCAUAUAUUUAUGUAUAUGUAUAUAUGUGUUUUUGUUUUUUUGUUUUUUUUGGGGGUUUUUUGGGUUUUUUUCGUUUGGUUUCUUAUUCAACCUUUUCAAGAUGUUGUUGCACUAAUGUUGUCUCCCAACGAGAGAUUGUAAUAUGUGCAUAAAUUUAAUUAAAGUAUGAAAAAAAAAAAAACCAAAUCCGGUCGUUGGUACUUCCUGGCUUGUGUAGCCACGAGGUAACCAAAGCUCAACACCGCCCCCUAGCAUCCUGGAGCACUUCUGUUAUCUUUCCCGGACCUUUCCCUGCCUGUAAUCCUGUGAAUGAGUGUGACCCAGUUAAGGAGUGAGGAGAGUGAUUUGGAGACCUUUUGGAGCACGUUUGAUCCCCUUCCCUCCCCUCACGGAUCCUGGAGCCCUGGACCCCCCUUCAGCACAUUGUAUACUCUGUCAGUGCGCCCCAGGGUGGCUGUGGCUACAAUGUAGCUUGCCAUCACCAGUGUGUGAAUGUGUGUGUGAAUGGGUGGAUGACUGGAUGUGUAAAGCGCUUUGGGGUCCUUAGGGACUAGUAAAGCGCUAUAUAAAUACAGGCCAUUUACCAUUUAUAUAUUAUCACCUGGUGUUGUCUGUAUAAAUAAAUUAACUGUCUUC